UAAUGUAUGGGGAUCUGCCCGAUAGGAGGGGAUAACUACUAGGAAACGGUGGCUAAUACCGCAUAAUGUCUACGGACCAAAGCAGGGGCUCUUCGGACCUUGCACUAUCGGAUGAACCCAUAUGGGAUUAGCUAGUAGGUGGGGUAAAGGCUCACCUAGGCGACGAUCUCUAGCUGGUCUGAGAGGAUGAUCAGCCACACUGGGCUGAGACACGGCCCAG
rnacentral:rRNA from 1 species